GUGGUUCCUCAAACUGACGAUCCUCAUUCUUCUUCUUCACCUGGCUCUUAGCUCCUGGUGUCUUCUGCUGAGGUGGCAGUUGUUGCUGUUGAACAGGUGAUUUGCUGACAGGAGUGGAUACGGUGGCAGCGUAAGGAUGAUAACGAUCUUUGCUACGUUCUUUCUUUGCGGGCACACCGACUGGCUCAACCUUCUUCUUGAAUGGACCACUGUCGGAGGGUUUCUCUGCUACAGUACCAGAAGGUUUGUUCACUUCGGAGGACGGAGCCUUC
rnacentral:lncRNA from 1 species